AUUAGCUACCAUACCACGUAGAAAGCACCGGUUCUCGUCCGAAUACCGAAGUUAAAUAACGUCGGAGAGGGUCAGUACUUGCAUGGGUGACCGGCUGGGAAUACGCGGUGUUGCUGACU
rfam:Hymenolepis nana genome assembly, scaffold: HNAJ_contig0008101